GGAAGUAAAAGUCGUAACAAGAGCUCCGUAGGUGAACCUGCGGAGGGAUCAUUACAGAGUUCAUGCCCUACCGGGUAGAUCUCCCACCCUAUGUUAUUAUUACUUUGUUGCUUUGGCGGGCCGUUAGGCUCCGGCCCGACUACCGGCCCCGGCUGGUAAGCGCCCGCCAGAGGACCCAAAACCCUGAAUAUUAGUGUCGUCUGAGUACUAUAUAAUAGUUAAAACUUUCAACAACGGAUCUCUUGGUUCUG
rnacentral:misc_RNA from 1 species